ensembl:lincRNA Gm11527 predicted gene 11527
CCUCACUGAACCUUUUUUUGGCCUUAGAAUCCCUGUUUUGGGGCCUGCAGGAAGUAGCAACCAACCCGAGCCUCCGCAGGGAAUGCACUGACCUGUAGAAUGGACGUUCAGCUUCCCUCCCUGUGUCUCAACACGAUUACAUUUCAGGAACAGCCUGGGCUGGGAGGCACUGCGCACGCGCGCCGAGUCGGGCGGAAAAAUAAACGAGUUGAUGGAAGACUGAACAUAACUUUACCCAGGAGGGAAAACGAAAGAACCCGAAGGAUCCCGAGGCUUUCCUGUCUGAGUACCGCUGCACACACCGCGCCUCGGAGUCCCCGCCCCCUACCCUCUGAUUGGCUGCUGUGCAGAACGCGCGAGUGAUUGGCACGGUGGCUAUAGGUUCUCACCCUUGGGAGGAUGCCAUGGAAACCAAAAGGAGCCUCUCCCGACUCUCCGAUUAAUUCUCUAAGCAUGCCUCUUGCAGACACAACCCACGCACUCUUUAAAACAUCUGAAUGGAUCAGUUUGAAUGAACCAUCGCAACCUCAAAAAGAUCAAGACGUGAGAGGAGGCACACUUGCGCUACCAGAAAAUAAAGAUGCUUGUUAACUGUA